rnacentral:misc_RNA from 1 species
AAGUCGUAACAAGGUUUCCGUAGGUGAACCUGCGGAAGGAUCAUUAGAUUGAAUUAUCAUUGUUGCUCGAGUUCUUGUUUAGAUCUUUUACAAUAAUGUGUAUCUUUAUUGAAGAUGUGCGCUUAAUUGCGCUGCUUCUUUAGAGUGUCGCAGUAGAAGUAGUCUUGCUUGAAUCUCAGUCAACGCUACACACAUUGGAGUUUUUUACUUUAAUUUAAUUCUUUCUGCUUUGAAUCGAAAGGUUCAAGGCAAAAAACAAACACAAACAAUUUUAUUUUAUUAUAAUUUUUUAAACUAAACCAAAAUUCCUAACGGAAAUUUUAAAAUAAUUUAAAACUUUCAACAACGGAUCUCUUGGUUCUC